GACGAACGCUGGCGGCGUGCUUAACACAUGCAAGUCGAACGGAAAGGCCCUGCUUUUGUGGGGUGCUCGAGUGGCGAACGGGUGAGUAACACGUGAGUAACCUGCCCUUGACUUUGGGAUAACUUCAGGAAACUGGGGCUAAUACCGGAUAGGAGCUCCUGCUGCAUGGUGGGGGUUGGAAAGUUUCGGCGGUUGGGGAUGGACUCGCGGCUUAUCAGCUUGUUGGUGGGGUAGUGGCUUACCAAGGCUUUGACGGGUAGCCGGCCUGAGAGGGUGACCGGCCACAUUGGGGCUGAGAUACGGCCCAGACUCCUAAGGGAGGCAGCAGUGGGGAAUAUUGAAAAAUGGGCGGAAGCCUGAUGCAGCAACGCCGCGUGCGGGAUGACGGCCUUCGGGUUGUAAACCGCUUUCGCCUGUGACGAAGCGUGAGUGACGGUAAUGGGUAAAGAAGCACCGGCUAACUACGUG
rnacentral:rRNA from 1 species